GACGAACGCUGGCGGCGUGCUUAACACAUGCAAGUCGAACGGAAAGGCCCUGCGUUUUUGGGGUGCUCGAUUGGCGAACGGGUGAGUAACACGUGAGUAACCUGCCCUUGACUUUGGGAUAACUUCAGGAAACUGGGGCUAAUACCGGAUAGGAGCUCCUGCUGCAGGGUGGGGGUUGGAAAGUUUCGGCGGUUGGGGAUGGACUCGCGGCUUAUGAGCUUGUUGGUUGGGUAGUGGCUUACCAAGGCUUGGACGGGUAGCCGGCCUGAGAGGGUGACCGGCCACAUUGGGACUGCGAUACGGCCCAGAGUCCUACGGGAGGCAGCAGUGGGGAAUAUUGCACAAUGGGCGGAAGCCUGAUGCAGAAACGCCGCGUGCGGGAUGCCGGCCUUCGGGUUGUAAAAAGCUUUCGCCUGUGACGAAGCGUGAGUGACGGUAAUGGGUAAAGAAGCACCGGCUAACUACGUG
rnacentral:rRNA from 1 species